GCACUUCCGGAGUGAGGCAAUGCCUCGCCCUGCUUCGGCUCGCGCACGGUGCGCGCACCCACUGGCCUGCGCCCACUGUCUGGCACUCCCUAGUGAGAUGAACCCGGUACCUCAGAUGGAAAUGCAGAAAUCACCCGUCUUCUGCGUCGCUCACGCUGGGAGCUGUAGAGCGGAGCUGUUCCUAUUCGGCCAUCUUGGCUCCUCCGGCUUACAUUCUUGUAUGCUUUCAGACUUGAACUGAAUUAUACCACCAACUUUCCUGAUUUCCCAGUUUGCCAACAGCACAUCACAGGACUUCUCAGCCUCCACAACAUUUAGGAAGAAGAAAAGCUUUUUGAAUGAAUCACUUCUCAUCUUCUCCGAAGUUGGAAGCAUCAAGAAUCUAAAUAAGCAUUUAUGAUGGCUGGCAUGAAUAUUUCUCUCCUUCAUCGUGCCUAUUUUAUGAACUUGAACAAGGAAGUUGCCACAACAUCUGUGGGCCAGAGAACUAUGCCAGAAUGUUAUUUCCAGAUUGCUUCCUGUAUUUACAAAGACAGGUGAAGACAGAACAAGAAAACAAACCAAGAAUUUCCCCUCACCAGCCACCAGCUCUGCCAGCAACUUGAUCUUAGACUUCCCAGCCUCCGUAACGCCUCUGCUUAUAAUCUGUCAUGGAUUGGAAAACUAGAAAAAACAGUUUACAGAGUAUAACAAACUUUGGAGGAGUUAAUCGACUCUAAGUAAAAGAGUAUCUAGCACGGCUGUGGAACAAAGGAGAGACUCACAAACUGUUGAAAGAAUAAAUGAAUGAAUGAAUUCUGUUCAUGAGCUUUAAUAAAACAGCUCUGAGUAGUAACAGUGGAUCAAAUUUAGGCUUCUUGAUGCAGGCAUGGUGUAGAUUACUACUUCUGUAUUGUCCCAGGAGCUCAGCACAUUCCUGCAGAGAUGAUAGGAGCUCAUCUGAUACUUGUCAGCUUUGAAUAAACUCCAGUCCCCAAGAGAGAGAAUGAGAAUCACCGGAAUACGAAACUUCCCUGUUGGACUUCCCAACAUUCUUGAAUGCACCAAGAUAGCCUCUUGCUGUGAGAUUAAUAAAUGAAUAAAUGCCUCCAUAUUUUUCAAAUCUGUGAAGUUAACAACAUGUAGAUUUUUUUGCAUAUUUAAAAACUGCAACUAAAUCUUAAUGCCUCUGAAGCAGAUGGAAGAAAAUAAUAGGCUUCCAUUAACUGUGUCAAAUUGUAUAGGUCUUGGCCAUCACUGGUCCUGUUGUGAUGAAGGUUUUUUGCCCUUGGAUAUAAUUUAAUUUUCAAUUCUUCUAAUUAUGGUACUUCAGAACAUCAAUAUUUGAGAUGAACUUCUCUAGUGUCAAGGACUGAUUUGAGUUGUGUAAACCCUGAAUAUCUGAGACAGGUCUCGAUUAUUUUAGAAAGUUUAUUUUGCCAAGGUUGAGGAUGUGUGCCUGUGACACGGCCUCGGGAGGUCCUGAGGACAUGUGCUCAAGGUGGUCAGAGCACAGCUUUGCUUUAUACAUUUUAGAGAGACAUGAGACAUCAACCGACAUAUGUAAGAUGAACAUUGGUUCCAUCUGGAAAGGCGAGACAACUUCAAACGAGGAGGGGGCUUCCAGGUCAUAGGUAGAUAAGAGACAAAUGGCUGCAUUCUUUUGAGUUUCUGAUUAGCCUUUCCAAAGGAGGCAAUUAGAGUGAGCAAAAUGAACAAAAUCAAUUAUUUUGAUUCUGAACAAAAUGGGAGGCUGGUUUUCCCUAAGCAGUUCCCAGCUUGACUUUUCCCUUUAGCUGAGGGAUUUGGGGGGCCCAAGAUUUAUUUUUCUUUCACCGUUGUAUCAAACUACACAGGCGGCCUUGGAAACCAUCACAGUUGAGAGUAGGUAACGCCCAUUUGUUGCAUAGUUUUGUGCUCCACACUCUUAUCUACAAAAUUAUGAAUUUUUUUACAUAUAUUAAUUUCAGAAAAACUAAAAAUAAAACAAAGUAGUUUCAAACUAGUAUUGUUUUUAUAUCUUAAAAAUAAAGCUUUAUAUACUCUCCUUAC
rnacentral:lncRNA from 1 species